rnacentral:rRNA from 1 species
UACAGAGGGGGCAAGCGUUGUUCGGAAUUACUGGGCGUAAAGGGCGCGUAGGUGGCCUGGUCAGCGUGCGGUGAAAGCUCGGGGCUCAACCCCGAGUCGGCCGUGCGAACUGCUGGGCUUGAGCACUGUAGAGGCAGGCGGAAUUCCGGGUGUAGCGGUGGAAUGCGUAGAGAUCCGGAAGAACACCGGUGGCGAAGGCGGCCGUGCUGGCAGUGAGCUGACACUGAGGCGCGACAGCGUGGGGAGCAACAGG